GAUGAAGAACGUAGCGAAAUGCGAUAAGUAAUGUGAAUUGCAGAAUUCAGUGAAUCAUCGAAUCUUUGAACGCACAUUGCGCCCAUUAGUAUUCUAGUGGGCAUGCCUGUUCGAGCGUCAUUAAGUCCACUUAAGCCCUGCUUAGUGUUGGGAGACUGCUCCAGCGGUGCUACCCUGUAGCUACCCUGCAGCUCCUCAAAGACAGCGGCGGAGUUGUGGUAUCCUCUGAGCUUAGUAACUUGUUCUAGCUUUCGAGUACACCACUUCCCCUGCCGUAAAACCCUUAAUUUUUAAUGGUUGACCUCGGAUCAGGUAGGAAUACCCGCUGAGUUUAAGCAUAUCAAUAAGCGGAGGA
rnacentral:misc_RNA from 1 species